rnacentral:tRNA from 1 species
UCCCUAAUGGCUCAGAUGGUAAAGAAUCUGCCUGCAAUGCAGAAGAUCUGGGUUCAAUUCCUGGGUCAGGAA